rnacentral:lncRNA from 1 species
AACAGGUAUGUACUGGUACAGAAUCCAGGAAUACUGGUUAGGUUAACUGCCUGCCAUUACAUGACUGAAAUACUGUUGAAAAACAGCGUUAAACCCAAAACAAAACAAACAAAAGUUAAACAAAAUACUGGUAAACUUCAUAAGUUUUAAAACAGUUGUCUUUAGUCUUGCCUAUCAGCUUUGAUACUGUUUGGCCAAAUCACAAUGGGUCAUCAUAGUGUGAAAUAGCUGCUAUUGCAAACAUACAAAGAAACAAUAAAAAAAUUUGCAUCUAAUCUAAUGUUUGUGACAAAGGUAGAUACAGUACUGCGACUUAUUCAUGGUACAGACUUAUGUGAGGGAAUAUAUGGUAUCAUAAGUGCACCUGUUUUUUUCAGGCACCUGUUAUGUUUUAUAGAGUUUAGUAACAAAUGCUGUUAAUGUUGUUAUUCAUUUGUAAUUUUAAGAUAAAUAUUAGUAUUUGUCAUGUUUUAAAAUUGUGUAUUUAUAAACAUGUGAAGUAUCUGUAGUUAUAUUAGGACCAAUUUAUGCAGCUCGUUACAGCUUUCCAUUACUUACUAUGGAAGUUUGUUCAAUGGUAUGGACUGGAUUUGAAAAAAAAAAAACAUGGAUCAUAUGACUAGGCGUACAUCAAACUUUAUGAUUAGCAUAAUUCCCGGUAUCUAAGAGUUGGUCAAUAUCCAUCUUUGAAGAAAUCUCCAUGGCAACCUGCUUUCUCAGUUUUAAAUAGACAAAAUCCUCAGUUUAGUUUUUUAAUAGAGAUUGUUGACAGUUUCAAGGGAAUGUGUAAGGGAGAGAAGGAGUGAGGGAGAGGGGUUGUGGGGUUUCUGUCAGUACAACAAUGAACAGAUAGGGUUUAUGCAGAGAGAUGAGAUACUGUAAAAGCAGAAAUUUUCACGAGGGUUUAAUUUUCGCUAUAUUCACAAGGUUAUACAGCUCUCGAAAAUUAAUCCUAACAAAAAUAUUCCCCAUUAGUAUAAUUCAAAUUCAGAUAUACCAUUUUUACAAUUUCGCAAAUAUUAAACCCCGCGAACGUACUCAAAACUUCAAAUCGUGAAAUUUUGACCAAGCGAAAAUAUGAGCUUUUACAGUAGAUAUAGAGGAUUUGUUUCAUCUUAUAUAUUACUGAUUUCCCUUUAACAGAGCUGUUCAUAUUCAUUUUAAAACCCAAGCUGAUGGAAUGGUGGUCUUAAUUAAGGACAACGGUUACAUUUCAAACUAUCACAGCUACCCUUUGUAUUCAUGUUUAUAGGAUAUUAUGUUACCUAUCACACGACAGACGCGUAGCUGGGCUAAGAUGCUUUUCUGAAAUAUAUUUUUCACUGUAGCACUUCAUGGAUGUAAAGGUUUUUCCGCAACAGGUUUUUUUAUUUGGCUGGCUACGUCACUGCACCUAUCUCGAUUUAAGUAAGACAGAAAAGACCAGUUCACUAUAAGCAAUGUUUACAUAGCUUUUAUCCACAUGUGAUUUGCCGCUGUUCCUUGGGGUAUACUAAAAUAGAUAUAAUUUGUUCAUGUCCAACAGCAUUUAUUUUCAUAUUCACUGCAUUUAUACUUUGCACACUUUAGGGUUCAUUUUCUUCAAAGAGCCAUUUUACAAUCAGUUAUAUCAGAUAUUGUAAUAUUUGCUCACAAUAAAAACUGCUGAACAUAAUUUAAGAAAGUGUACAUGAUGCAUUUAAUUUAGAAACGUAUUACUUAGAUUUAGCAUUUUGCAUUUAUUACCAAGUUCUCUGCUACUAUUUUUAACAAUAAACUACAGUCGAACUUUGUUCACUCUAACUGGACAGGAUGGUCACAGUUUGUACAAGUAAUUGGCAGUGUGAGCCAAAGAACACUUCAUUUUAAAGGAAUUUCGCCGCGACCUGAUGAUGAGUUCGGAUUAAGGCUGGUGUUUGAAUUAUUGAGUUAAAGCAAACGAAGUUCCACUGUAUGUUCUAAAAGUAAAAUAGUAAACUUUAUUCUUGUGCAUUUAGUGAUACAUUGUUCAACAAAAAUGAUUUUUCUGUAAUAAUAUACUGUUAAAUUGUUAAGCAACACUGUUGGUAUACAUUUGAUAGUGUAUAGCUUAAUGAAUUAAUUGUGUUCCAUACUGGCGUUUAAAUUGGAAACUGUGUUCAAAUAUUAUGCUAUUGCAAAGUUCUAAAGUUAUUAAAGUAAGAUUUUUUCCUAGAUGCAUAGUAAAGAUGAAGCAUUGCAAUUUUAUCUUGCCUUUUGUACCCACUAUUGUAAUUGUGUCAUGCAUAGAAGGUAAAAACUCGCUUACAUACCAAUUAUGCAGGGCUGGAUCUGAAAAUUACACAUUGCAAAUGUAAGGCUGGAUUUAGAAAUUACCUAUUGCAAAUGUAAGGCUGGAUUUAAAAAUUACCCAUUGCAAAUGUAAGGCUGGAUUUAAAAAUUACACAUUGCAAAUGCAAGGCUAGAUCCAAUCAAGAAAUUGCCCAUUGCAAAGUCAGACUAGAUCAAGAAAUUGCCCAUUGCAAAUGCAAGGCUACAAGCAGAAAUCAUCCAUUGCAAAUGUAAGGCUAGAUCUAGAAAUUAUCUGUUGUAAAUGCAAGGCUGGAUCUAGAAAUUACCUGUUAUAAGUAUAUUAAGACAAUAUCCAGAAAUUACCCAUUGAAUAUGUAAGGCUGGUAUUGCAAAUGUAAGGCUGGAUCUAGAAAUUACUCAUUGCAAAUGUUAGACCAGAUCCAGACAUGACCCAUUGUAAAUGUGACACAAGAACCAGAUAUGGCAAAUACAUUUUCCUUUUCAAAGAUGAUUAGAUUUUUUAUGUUUCUCAUUUCAGAAUAUAAUUUCUUUAUUAAAUUUAUUCUUAAAACAUGAUAUCCAUUGAAUUUAAAAUAUACAGUAUUUAAGUUGUUAAGUUUGCAUAAAAUAUUAAUUAUCAACAUACAUGUAUUUUUUUUUUCUUUCCUAUGGGGAUUUAAUAAGGAGAAGGCACACAUGUAUGAAAUAUUAACUUCUGUUACCUUUUCUCUCUGAUCAGAGUGUGAUACAUUAUAUCAUUGUGUAAAUUUUAUCUUGUUACAUUUUUUUUAAUGAAAGUUUUAGUCUUUGAUUGAUUUAUCCGCAGGUAUAUAUAUCUGCACUACAGAAAACAUUUUACAGGCACAAAGUCAAAAUUCUAGAAUUCCAGAUGUUACAGUGUUCAUCUUUGUAUAUCAUGUUUAAAAAAAAUAGUUGUUAGAGUUAGGGAUGUAUUUUAACAUAAAUAAAAUUUUACUUUUCUAUGCUCCCCCUGCCCCCACCAUUUUGAUCACUUUCUACCAAGCAUCUGUCCACCUGUCUAUCCACAUUUUCUUCAAGUGAUAAUUUUCUUCUCUGAAACCAUUUGAUGGAAGUUUUUGAAACUAAGGUAUUUCAAAAGUCCCUCCCCCAAAGUUGAUCAAGGACUUGUGUUUGGCUGCAUAGGAGCAUCUCUACCAAAUAUGUUAAUGACAUUUUGAUUUUUUUUUUAAAACCUUGUUAUGAUACCUGUUUAUGUUGAAUAUUAAAGUCUGAUUUUGUAAGACGUUUUAUACUGUCUGGCAGUUCCUUUUACUUUGGUUUCGUGACUAUGUUACACAUUUUUGUGUACACUUCACAACACUUCUAAAUAGUCCAGUGAUAGUGAAAUAGGCACUACAUACACAGGUAUUACUACUAGCACAGAGCUUAAGUAAAUACAUCUAAGAAUGGAAUCUUAACCCAAAUUGUUUAGAAAAAUGGCAUCAUAUUAACAUAUCAGUGUUCCUAGGGGUUGAUUGUCUUCUUUUCUCACAUCAAUUCCUGGGAUAUGAAGAUUUUUUUUAAUUUGUAGAAAGAAUUUAUUUAUUAUUGUUUUUAGUUUUCGCCUUAUACUUAUGUUUCUGUAUAUUUUGCGGAAAAUUCAUUUUUGAAUUGUUUGUACAAGUGUACUAAUUAACCUUUAGCAUGCUAGAUAAAUUGUCGUCUGCUGGAAAUGUCCUCUGCUUAAAUUGUAAAGUUCAUUCAAUUUGCUCCAAAAUUGGAAGAAAUAUUGUCAGAGUGGCAAACAGCUUGGAACCUGAUCAGACGCCGAUUUAAUCGGCGUCUGAUCUGGUUCCAAGCUGUUUGCAAAGGCUGUUAAAUCCGCCUGCAGCAGGCUAAGGGUUAAAUUUCGUACCCUUUAAAUUAGUCUGAUCUCAUUAUGAUAUUUUGUAAGGAUAUGGACGCUGUACUGAUGCUUUCUGACUAUGUUACAAUUUAUAGUAUAAAGUCUGCAACUGAAAGGUCAAGGUCAUACAGGUUAAAAUUAUUUCUGCUAUUCAGUAGUUUCUUUCACCUUUUGAAUAACCAUUUACAAGUUUAUAUAACUACUGUUAACUAACACUUAAUGAAUAAUCUAAACUAUUGCCUGAGGUGCAAAAGAAUGAGAGUUAAUAGUUUUGACUAUUGACUUGCAAGCUGUUUUAUUACAUGACAUCAGAAAUUAGUUCUUAUAUUUUUCUUCCAGUUUUAACUUUAGCCUAGCAAAAUUUAGCAUAGAACUGUAAAUUGAUAACUGUAGCACAAAUUAUGGAGUAGCGAUUUUUAUUAACCCUUAGCCUGCUGGCGGCAGAUGAUUCUGCCUUUGCGACCAGUGCAGACCAAGAUCAGCCUGCACAUCCGUGCAGUCUGAUCAUGGUCUGCACUGUUCGCUAUUCAGUCAGUAAAUUUUCAGUGUAAACCCCUUUGAAUAAUAAAUGGUACUGUCCAAAUUGAAAGAUGGACCAGUCCAUUACAGAAAUAUAGCAGGGUAAGGGUUAAGCAUGAUAUAUGCUAGCUCUGGGUUAGAUUUCUGGAGCAAACAAUACCAUUUUACGGACAUGUAUUUAGCCCUUACUAUGCUAAAUUUCUAUAAUGAACUUGUCCAUUUUCCAAUUUGGGCAGUACCAUUAACUGUUAAAAGGGGUGCUUACCAAAAAGGUACUGACUGAAUGGAGAACAGUGCAGAUCAUGAUCAGACUGCAUGGAUGUGCAGGCUGAUCAUGAUCUACACUGGUCGCAAAAGUAGACUCAGUCGUGUCCAGCAUGGAAAGGGUUAAUUAAAAACAUGUAAAAGUGAUCUUUUAAUAAAAUUGUUAAUAUAGUUUAUAGAAUUAGUGGAAUAUAGUUGGUUGUUUAUAAUUCUUUUUAUUUAUUUACAUAAGACAUGGUGCUGUUACUUUCUACUGAUUUUUGCCAGCUGCUCUGUGACAUUUUUUUAAACAUAUUAAUUUUUCUUUAAAUCUGAUAUCUAAAGAAUGAUUUUUGCCCCCAAUAGACCUGUAUGUGAAAUAGGGGUGUCAUAAUGAUGCCUUGGCAAAAUGAAAUAAGGGAUGUUGUAACUUGUUAUAACAUUUUAACUUUUCUGUUUUUACUAUGGCAACCAAAAUGGCAAAACUUUACCACAAUAAAGUAUUUAACUGUUAAAGGAAACCAGGAUGACUUUUAUCCCACACCAGUGCAAAUAUCUACUGUCAUAUACCGUACGUUCAAAGUGAUAUUUAAAACAUGAAUGCGAGUUUUAUAUCAUGAUGUAUGUCUUAUCAUGAUUAAAAAGGGCCAUUGGGUUAAAUUUAUCAACAAUUUGAUAUAGCAGAAAUAGUAUAAUAUUAUAUAAUUCCUGUUUUAGAAAAUGUCUAUCUUUACAUGUGUUUUGAGUUGUUUUGUAGAUAUUUUCAAGUUAGUGCCUGAUAUAACAAGUCUCAAAACAGCGUGACAAAGAUUGUUAGAACAUUUUAAAUAAUAUCAACUGUAUAAAACUCAACAAAAUGACCUUGUAAGAACUUCUAAUUUAUCAUUUCUUACGAACAAAAAAGUGCUUGCUAAAUUUUUAGCUUGACUAUAUGAAGAGAUGUUACACUCACCCAUUUGUAGGUGUCCCGAUUUGGUCAAGUUUCUGUUUGUAAGCUGCCACUUGCGGGAAUUGAUUGAAACUUCACUCACUUAUUCACUGUGUUAAACUGACUCUCCAUAACUCUAUUUUGCUUUUUUACAAAAUUAUAACCCUUUUUUGUAAGCUGGCAUUUCAGUACCUGGUAAUGGAAAUGGAUUGAAACUUCACACACUUGACCACCGGUGAGAUGACAUUGUAUUGUGCAGAUUCAGUAACUCUGUUUAUCCAUUUUCACAAAAUUAUGCCCCUUUUUCAGUAUUUGUAUUCAUUCUAUUCACUUUCUUUAGUGAUGAGGCUGUUGAAUACCGGUAGUUGAGCUUUGCUGUCCUCUGACAGCUGUUGUUAAAACAUUUAAAAAAAUCUAUAGUUUGUCACUGUGAAAUACUAUUUUGAAAAUGUUUAGCUCAUUUCAGAAACAUUCUGAGGUUCUGUCUACGUAUAUUUUAGUAAAUAUUUCAUGUGUCUGAUUUUUGUUCAAUAAUAGAGUGGUUGUGAUUGCAUACUUAUUUCGUUACUUCUGUGGAGAUUUUCAUUUUCUCUUUCAGUAAGCAUCUAGCUGUCAAACUUCUAAUUACUGCAAAGUUUACACAAUGUAGCAGUGCAUCUUGACAGUGUACAUGCAAAAACUAAAUCUGAAGCUUUAAACAUGUAGAAUUAUAUGCAGUAUUUUCAGCAGAACUGUUGAGGUUUUCCACAGUGUAGUUGUCUAGAAAUUAUUACCUCUUGAAUAAAUGGCUUUUAAUCAAGGCCAAAAAAAAACUACAAAUUAUCACCUCAUUGUAUCUGUUGUAUCAAUAUAUAACAUAGAGAAACAGAUAGAAUAGUUUUGCACCGAGGAAACAAAAUGUAGCAGCAUGUCCGGCCUCGUGUUUUAAUGAGAUGCAUUUAUUUUUGUAGUCCUGCAAUACUGUUUCUGCCAGUAGAUGUAUAUUGGUUUGUUGUAUAUUUCUUGUUAACAUACAUCAGAAAAAUUUGUCCAUGUUUUUGUUGUUUAUUUCGUACUUGAAUAACGACUGUGAGAAAUGGUUAGUCAUGUUAUUUUGUAAAUUAUUUCUUAUACAGACUGUUUCGUAAAUGAUAUAAAUGAAUAAAUAUUAUGUAUUU